rnacentral:rRNA from 1 species
UACGUAGGGGGCAAGCGUUGUCCGGAUUUAUUGGGCGUAAAGAGCGUGUAGGCGGUUAGGUAGGUCCGUUGUGAAAACUCGAGGCUCAACCUCGAGACGCCGAUGGAAACCAUCUAACUAGAGUCCGGAAGAGGAGAGUGGAAUUCCUGGUGUAGCGGUGAAAUGCGCAGAUAUCAGGAAGAACACCUAUGGCGAAGGCAGCUCUCUGGGACGGUACUGACGCUGAGACGCGAAAGCGUGGGGAGCGAACAGG